CAGUCUGGCCUGCCCCCUGAGAGUUUUAAAGGGCCGCGGUAUUUGAACCGUGCUAAGGUAGCAUAAUAAAUAGUCUUUUAAUUGAGGUCUAGUAUGAAUGGUCGGACAGGAGGUAAGCUGUCUUGGUUAUAUUUGUUGAAUUUUACUUUUAAGUGAAAAGGCUUAAAUUUUGUGAGGGGACGAUAAGACCCUAUAAAGCUUUACGUGUUGGCUUUUAAUUGUGAAUGAGUUAAGGUGUCUUUGUUUUGUGAGUUGAUGCGUUUCGUUGGGGCGACGGGAAUAUAAUUUGUAACUGUUUUUAUUGAAAAGAUAAAUAUAUUUAGAGAACUUGAUCCUUUUUAAAGAUUAAAAGAUUAAAGUUACUUUAGGGAUAACAGCGUAAUUCUUUUUGAGAGUUCAUAUCGACAAAAGUAGUUGCGACCUCGAUGUUGAAUUAAGGUGUUAUCAAGGUGUAGCAGUUUUGAUAGUGAGUUUGUUC
rnacentral:rRNA from 1 species